AAGAACGCAGCGAAGUGCGAUACGUGGUGCGAAUUGCAGAAUCCCGUGAACCAUCGAGUUUUUGAACGCAAGUUGCGCCUGAGGCCAGCUGGCCGAGGGCACGUCCGCCUGGGCGUCAAGC
rnacentral:rRNA from 1 species